AUGUUUAGUAGUUUAGAUUAGGUUAUGUUUAUGUUUGCUUCGUGUUCGAGUAGUACAUAUUCAGUGUAAUAUAUUCUUUAUCUAUGCUUCGUGCUCCUGUGUUUGUUUUGUAUAAAGUUUAAAGCAUUGAAUUGAAUUAAAGGUUGAAAGACCAAAAGGACAAGAUGUAACCGUAAUUGGUUUACAAAAAAAAAAGAAAAUAUUAAAAUAUAACAAAACAAUUGUAUCGAGAAACUAAGAUGACAUUAAGUGUGAGUAUAGGCACGGAAGGGGAGUACUACUGUCGCAACUUUACUAUGCGUAAGAGUGAAACAGCACUGAGCCAAAUAAAAAAGAAUGUGUGUGUACUUUGUACGCAUGUAAGAAGUUAUACUUCUAUUAUAUGAUUUCUUAAAAAUAAA